rnacentral:misc_RNA from 1 species
GCCGCGUCGAACGAGCACCCCUGCCGCCCCCACACGCGCCCCGACCACCCCGCGGGGAGCCGCACCGACGCCGACCGCCCCGGCGCCAGCUGCAGCCCGCCGCGCGCCAGCACCUCCUUCCCGGCGCUCGGCUGGAUGCCCGGCCACACCGUCUCCCCGCACCGGUUGUACAGCACCAGCGUCGACGCCGACGCGCCGCACACGGACGCCGCCACCACCAGCAGCGCCGUUGCCACGGCGCGCAGUGCCAUUGUUGCCAUGGCUGGGCGUCACUACCUCACGCGGAGAAGGAGAGUGAUCUCUAUAGCUCUAGCUCUAGCUCGCUUGGAGUGUGG